rnacentral:rRNA from 1 species
UACGUAGGGUGCGAGCGUUGUCCGGAAUUAUUGGGCGUAAAGAGCUCGUAGGCGGUCUGUCGCGUCGAUCGUGAAAACUUGGGGCUUAACCCUGAGCUUGCGGUCGAUACGGGCAUGACUGGAGUUCGGCAGGGGAGACUGGAAUUCCUGGUGUAGCGGUGAAAUGCGCAGAUAUCAGGAGGAACACCGGUGGCGAAGGCGGCUUCCUGGACUGACACUGACGCUGAGGCGCGAAAGCUAGGGGAGCAAACGGG